rnacentral:lncRNA from 1 species
AGCAACUCUUUAUAUCAACUGCUCUAUUAGAUGCUUUAGAUAAUAAUAACAACAUACACAUAUAGCCAUUGUCGUGGGCCAGGCAGGUUUCUAAGCACCUUAUAUACACUUAGUUUCUAAAAUAUCUUUGUAGAGUUAAAUGACACCAGGAAGAUAUGAAAAGGAAAAUUCAGAAUAUGAGAAAUUGUGCCCAACCAUGACCUACCUUUUGACAAAUAAAGGGCAAAAAAAAAAAAAAUUAAAAGGAGGGGACAAGUGUCUAUAAAUUAAGACUCAAGAGGCAUAUUAACCAAAUGCAAUUAAAGUCUUUGAUUAUAAUUCUAAGAAAUCAAAUGAAAAGAAAAAAAGACAUUUUAAUGCUGACUAUUAGAGGAUAUUAAGAAGUUUUUGCUAGCUUUGUUAGGAAUUGCGGUAGACAGAAUUCCAAAAUGACCCCAUAGGUCCAGCCUCUGGUGCACAUGACCUGUGUAAUUUCUUCAUAACUAUGGGUAAGACCUGUGAAUAUGACGAAAUAUCACUUGCAUGAUUAGGUUAUGUUAGACAGCAAGAUGACGGGAUUUUGAAAACAAAAGAAGAGUCCCCAUCUGUUGAUUUUGAGUUAAUCUAAAGAAAGAUUAUCCCAAGUAGGUCUGGCUUAAUCAGAUGUAAGUCCAUGAAAGAGGGUUGAGGCCUUUCCUGAAGAGAGAGAUAACUCCUGUUGCCUUUAAAGAAUUCAGCUUCCAUGUUUCGGGAGGGUGUACAAGAGUGACACGUGGUAAAUGCAUGCAGAGGCCUCCCGAAGCUUAGAGGAGUCAUAGCUGAAAGCCAGAAGGAAAGCAGUAACCUGUACCCUACAACCACAAAUAAUUGUGCCAACACCGUAAGAGAGAGCUUGGAAGAGGAACCUCAGCUCUCGAAAGAUGGGUGGUCUGGCCAACAUCUACACUGCAUUGCCUGUGAGACCCUGAGCAGAGGACUUAAUUAAACGUGCCCUGACUCCCAACUCGUGGGAACUGUGAGAUAUUUCUGCUGUUCAAGCAAAUAUGGAAAGACUUCUACUUAAUUGAAAAUCGUCAAAAUACAUUUCUGCAAUUUUAUGAGAAAAUAUCAAUCAAGGGUAUAUGGAUCUGUAGUUAACAAGUGCUCUUUCCAUACAUGCCAGGGAGGGAGACUUUAAACUUCUUGCCAAAUAAGAUUUAUAAAAAACUGAACAAUAGACCAAAAAUUAAUAUUUUCAUGUAAGCCAUGAUUUACAUACUAUAUCAAGCCAGGUGAACAGAGAGCUGAGUACAUGAAGUGCAGUAUGCUGGCCUAUCCUAGCACUGCUUGGCUAGAUGCCAUUGGCUUACACAGGGCUAUAUGAAGAAAUUGUCUUACAAAAUCUGCUGGUGCUACUAUUGCAAGAACACUAAUUGUAUUAUUUUAUGUGCUUCAUGAGAACUCAGGAAAAUAUUUUUUCUGAUUUAGGAUCAAGAUUAAUUAUAUCAAUCUUAAGGAAUAGGUGUAACUUUAUCUUAUACACAAUGUGAACUGAACAACUGGUAAGAAUUCCCUUAGGUCAGUAAUAACAAGGAAGCUUGGAAGCAAAUGUAUAGCAAGCACAAACAUGCCUACAGUAAUUUUUCUGGCCCAAUUUAUUUUCCCAGCCCUAUCCUUCCUUCAUUCAUAAUUUAAAUGGAUAUUAUCUUAUAUUUUAUGUAUCAAUACUCAGAUUUUAAGUCUCUGUACACAUUUGUAUAUUAAAAAGUAGUUUAUAGAUUAAAAAAUAGUAAAUUUAGUUUAACAUCCACAUAAAAGCAUCAUCAGGUAGAUUUUUCUUAUUAUAUAUCAAAGUAUUGAGAUUUAAGAAGGCUAAAAGCUUCUGCCCAGAGCCAUACAUUUAGUCUGUGGGCUUUAGGGUCUGAAUAAUUUUUUUUGUUUUUUUAUAUAUGGAGUCUUGCUCUGUCACUCAGGCUGGAGUGCAGUGGCAUGAUCUCAGCUGACUGCAACCUCCGUCUCCCGGGUUCAAGCGAUUCUCCUGCCUCAGCCUCCCAAGUAGUUGGGAUUACAGGCACACGCCACCAUACCCAGCUAAUUUUUUUUGUAUUUUUAGUAGAGACGGGGUUUCACCAUGUUGGCCAGGCUGGUCUCGAAUUCCUGACCUCAGGUGACCCGCCCACCUCUGCAUCCCAAAGUGCUGGGAUUACAGGCAUGAGCCACCGUGCCUGGUCUGCCUCAGUCAAUUUAACACCAAUGGUACUAGUUUUUGCUGCAUGGAAGUAAGUUACUAUUGAAAAAGUAAACAUUUGUUUCAUGAUAUUGAAACACAAAAAAGAUCUGAGUCUUCAGAUAAUAACAAAAGUGUCAUUUUGUGGGGGCAGGGGGUGCAGGGGAAGUUUGCAUUUGCUAGAUAUAAAAUGAGAUUGUACACGAGAAUGUUCAAUACAUAUGGCAGAACUGCCACUGCGACUGGUAAUUCUGAAUUUCUGGCCUAUGUCAUCUUAACUUAGGUCUUGGCUAUUUCAACAAGAUUGUUUUCAAAAUUCCUGAAAAAGCAAACAAAGCCAACCACAGAGCAGCCCUAAGGAGCAAAGAUUAAUGUUUUUUUGUUUUUUUUUCUCUCUUCUCGCAUUCCCAGUAGAUUGUUCUACCAAUCCUAUAGGGCUUUUACGAAGAUUAAAAAUAUUAUAUAUGUAUAAGCAUAAAUAUAUAUAUAAGCAUAUAUAUACGCUUUAAGUUUAUAUAAACUUUAAGUUUUGUAGGAGGAAGUUUCUGUAAAAACACAAUUUUUCAGCCUUUUCUUCGAAAGUGAUGUUCUUAUGCUACAACACACAGGAUUACACAUCGUCAUAUUCGCAUUUCUCUUACCUCAUGGCUCUGAAAAUGCAGACUUUUUAUUGUUGAUGCUUUCAUGAAUCUAAAUAAUCUAACAGACAAUUUAUGACCAUUUUUAUAUUCCUUAUUAUGAUCAAUGUUAAGAUGUUAAAAAUAUUCUAAGAUAAUUCUCUUCCUAGAAGAAUAAUGAAAUUUUAAAUGCGGUGAUGGGGAGCAGUAUUCC